GGGACAAGCUGUUAACAACUUGUAACAAGCUUGAUGGCAUUAUCAGCCUUGUUACAAGACUGUGCUAACAAGUUUGUUACAGCCAUGAUAUAACAAGGAUGUUACAAGGUUGUCAACACAAGGUUGUAACAAUCUUGUUACAUCAAGCAUGUAACAGACUUGUCAGAACAACCUUGCAACAACCUUGCAACAACUGAUAAUUUCAACAAGGUUGUUACACGUUGUCAACAAGUUGUUCC
rnacentral:miRNA from 1 species